rnacentral:sRNA from 1 species
UAUAGAUAAAACUAAAAUCACUUUGAACCACCAAUAUUUAACGAAAUUCUUUCCCAUACGGCCAACACUUAGCCAAAAAAAUAAGGAAAAGCUCAAAUUAAAAAUCAAACCCUAAUUUCUAUAUCUCUUAUGCAUCCUCUUUCUCAGGUUUACCUCUUCACUCUCUUUCUCGAUUCAUCCUUUUUACAAAGAUUACUUUCUUCUCCUUAACUCUCUUUUAUCCCUUUAGUCUCUUCCUGCGAUUAUACACCCUGGAUCUAAUAUUGGAUUUUAUCAAUUUCUAUCACUCUUUGUCACUCUCGCUCUCAUUUCCAAAUUCUUCUUCUUCUUAAAUUCUACAGAUUCUUUUUU